rnacentral:rRNA from 1 species
UCUAAGGUUUCCAGAGUAAAGCUGAUCUGCUCUGGGUAAGUCGGGGCCUAAGGCCAGGUCGAAAGACGUAACCGAUGGACAACAGGUUGAAAUUCCUGUACCUUAAGUAAACAGAACUGUGGGGACACGUGUGGAGAGCACAAGCCGGAAAUGGAAAAGCCGGUGCAAGCGAGGUAGGAGUACAGUAGGCAAAUCCGCUGUACAAUCCGAAGACGUGAUGCGGACCGAAUUAAGAGUAGGGAAGUGUGUGAGCCAUGCGUCAAGAAAAGCCGCUAUUGUUUUACUUAAGCCCGUACCGUAAACCGACACAGGUGGAUGAGGAGAGAAUCCUAAGGCCGACGGGAGAAGCAUUGUUAAGGAACUCGGCAAAAUGACUCCGUAACUUCGGGAGAAGGAGUGCCAGCGAGAGCUGGCCGCAGAGAAUUGGCCCAAGCAACUGUUUAGCAAAAACACAGGUCUAUGCAAAACCGUAAGGUGAGGUAUAUGGGCUGACGCCUGCCCGGUGCUGGAAGGUUAAGAGGAGAGGUUAGCGGCAACGCGAAGCUUUGAAUUUAAGCCCCAGUAAACGGCGGCCGUAACAAUAACGGUCCUAAGGUAGCGAAAUUCCUUGUCGGGUAAGUUCCGACCCGCACGAAAGGCGUAAUGAUUUGGGCACUGUCUCAACAAUGCACCCGGUGAAAUUGAAAUACCAGUGAAGAUGCUGGUUACCUGCGCCAGGACGGAAAGACCCCAUGGAGCUUUACUCCAGCUUGAUACUGGGAUUCGGUAUUGCAUGUACAGGAUAGGUGGGAGGCUAGGAAGUGAUAACGCCAGUUGUCACGGAGCCGCUGUUGGGAUACCACCCUUGCAGUAUUGGAUUUCUAACCAGCGACCAUGAACUGGUCGGGGGACAAUGUCAGGUGGGGAGUUUGACUGGGGCGGUCGCCUCCGAAAGGGUAUCGGAGGCGCUCAAAGGUUCCCUCAGAAUGGACGGAAACCAUUCGAAGAGUGCAAAGGCAGAAGGGAGCUUGACUGCGACACCGACGGGUGGAGCAGGUACGAAAGUAGGACUUAGUGAUCCGGUGGUAUAAAGUGGGAUUGCCAUCGCUCAACGGAUAAAAGCUACCCUGGGAUAACAGGCUUAUCACUCCCAAGAGUUCACAUCGACGGAGUGGUUUGGCACCUCGAUGUCGGCUCAUCGCAUCCUGGGGCUGAAGUAGGUCCCAAGGGUUGGGCUGUUCGCCCAUUAAAGCGGUACGCGAGCUGGGUUCAGAACGUCGUGAGACAGUUCGGUCCCUAUCCGGCGUGGGCGUAGGAUAUUUGAGAGGAGCUGUCCUUAGUACGAGAGGACCGGGAUGGACUGGCCGCUGGUGUAUCUGUUGCAUACCAAAUGCAUGGCAGAGUAGCCAAGCCGGGACGGGAUAAACGCUGAAGGCAUCUAAGCGUGAAGCCCCCCUCAAGAUGAGAUAUCCCUACGUAAGUAGUAAGACCCCUUGAAGACGACGAGGUAGAUAGGUCAGAGGUGGAAGUACAGUAAUGUAUGGAGCUGACUGAUACUAAUCGGUCGAGGGCAUGAUC